GAGGGUAUGGCUCAGUGGUAGAGCGUAUGCUUAGCAUGUACAAGGUUCUGGGUCAAUUCCCACUACCUCCG
rnacentral:tRNA from 1 species